rnacentral:rRNA from 1 species
AUUGCACGCUGGCGGCAGGCCUAACACAUGCAAGUCGCGCGAGCGGCGGACGGGUGAGUACUGUCUGGGAAACUGCCUGAUGGAGGGGGAUAACUACUGGAAACGGUAGCUAAUACCGCAUACCAUCAGAUGUGCCCAGAUGGGAUUAGCUAGUCGGGUGGGUAACGGCUCACCUAGGCGACGAUCCCUAGCUGGUCUGAGAGGAUGACCAGCCACACGGGAACUGAGACACGGUCCAGACGCUUACGGGAGGCAGCAGUGGGGAAUAUUGCACAAUGGGCGCAAGCCUGAUGCAGCCAUGCCGCGUGUGUGAAGAAGGCCUUCGGGUUGUAAAGCACUUUCAGCGGGGAGGCGUUACCCGCAGAAGAAGCACCGGCUAACUCCGUGCCAGCAGCCGCGGUAAUAC